rnacentral:rRNA from 1 species
UACGUAGGGUGCGAGCGUUAAUCGGAAUUACUGGGCGUAAAGCGUGCGCAGGCGGUCUGUUAAGUCAGAUGUGAAAUCCCCGGGCUUAACCUGGGAACUGCAUUUGAGACUGGCAGGCUAGAGUAUGGCAGAGGGGGGUGGAAUUCCACGUGUAGCAGUGAAAUGCGUAGAGAUGUGGAGGAAUACCGAUGGCGAAGGCAGCCCCCUGGGCCAAUACUGACGCUCAUGCACGAAAGCGUGGGGAGCAAACAGG